UGGUGGAGUGAUUUGUCUGGUUAAUUCCGAUAACGAACGAGACUCUGUCCUGCUAAAUAGAAUGUGUGCUCUUCGCGUACACAUUUUUCUUCUUAGAGGGACUGGUGGCGUCUAGCCGCACGAGAUUGAGCAAUAACA
rnacentral:rRNA from 1 species